ensembl:lncRNA LINC00649 long intergenic non-protein coding RNA 649
GCGCCUACUGCCCCGUAGGCAUCCCGGGGGACAAACGCUGGGUCGUCCUGAGUCGCUCCCACUCGCCAGGUCCCAUAACCUUGAAGACUGCCAGACUUCCCCAGCCGAAGCAUCGCACCCUGGUGCUCGAGGUUUGGUACCGGUCAUCCCAGGAGGGAUCCUCCCACUGGCUCUCAGGACCACCUUUCUCUCACCUGCCGGGAGAGCCCGGACACUGCUGGGGCAGCCAUCUUCUCCCGGGCGGCUCUGGGUGCGGUGGCUCAGGACUGUAAUUCCAGCUACAUGAGAGGAUUGCCUGAGGCCAGGAGUUUGAGACCAGCCUGAACAACAUAAUAGACUGGGAGCUCCAUGAGGUCCGAGACAACCUGAAGACGCCCAGCUCAGCAGAGACUGGCUACGGCAAUCACUCAGUAACUAUUUGUUGAAUUGGACAUAAUAGAAGAGCUGAAGAAUUUUAAACAAGUCACCAUCAGUGCAGUGGAUUCCUCAAAGCAAACCUGGAAAUCUCGGCAUGAGUUGGAUUUAAGGCAGUACAUUUUCAGCUCCUGAAAAUUUGAACAGUUUCUCAAGAGAACAACUUGAAACAGAAAGGCAAGGAUGUAGAUGUGGUUGUAGAAGAUGAUGUCUGCGGCCACCAAACUGUCCACUGUGAAGACAAACCAUGCAUGUUUAGUAGGCAGUG